rnacentral:lncRNA from 1 species
UUAUCUUGUGAGCAAUUGUUUUUGUUUUGGAGGGUUUCCAAAACAAGGAAAGGUUGAUCCGAACCUAAAAUCGGAGUGUAUUGGGUCGGCUUGUACCCGAGAAACAAGUGGACUAGCUUGGGAUAGCUAGUGUCAGAGUUUUCGACGGUUGUAUUCGGGUUGAAUACAAAGUAUAGUGGAUUGGAAUUCCCAAGUAGGAGCUUGGGGAGUGGAUGUAGGUGCAAGGUUGGCACCGAACCACUAUAAAUCAUUGUGUUUGUGGCAUGCUUUAUUGUUUCUCUUUAAUUCUCCAUUAUAUCCUUGCAUUCUUGUUUUAAGUAAUUAAUCUCAAACCAAAGUCUCUCUCUUCAUUCAUCAAGUUUUUGAUAUAUAAUUUUUACAAGUAAUU